CAUACUAUAUAAUGAUUCACACUGAUCAGACGUGACCACGUUGGGUGUCCAAUGGCAUAUUUUUUGCCUGCCACUGCAUGCUGCUGUUCUACUACGUUACCCAUAAUCCCGCUCGGUGGGCGGGCGAGUGCGUGACGCAUCAGGAGCGUAUAAAAGCUCGCGGCUGCCGUUAUGAGGCCCUCUUGAAGUCGUUGCUUCGCUUGUGGAGGAACGCUUCCAACAUGAGAGCGAAGUGGAGAAAGAAGCGUAUGCGCAGGCUGAAGCGUAAAAGGAGAAAGAUGAGGCAGAGGUCUAAGUAAACUGCACCCUGUCUGCUGCAGCUGGAUUCCAUCCUGAUCAUCGCGGAUUUUCCCUCAGCAAGAGUCUUGCAAAGAGCGACUGAAGAGGUUCCCUUCAUCUACCCUGAAUGAAGCCAGACACUUCUGACAGUGGGAUCUUCAUCACCUGGCUGCUCAGUUGCCUCUUGGGUUUUGAUGGCCUUGCGAACUCUCUUUGGACAUUCCAGACAACUCCAGCUCAGCAUGUUUUUGUUAAUACCUCCAAUAAAAUCUGUUUUAAAAACGUAUUCAUGUGUGGCACUGAAUGAAUUGGAAACUACAGUUUAUUUGAGCAGAGAUCCAUCAAGAACACUAAGCUUCAUGAGCUCUCUUGAGGAAGCAUUGGGUGGGUGGAGGCCAAGGUCAUUUAGUUAAGUGCUUUGAGAGGUCUGUUCUAGAAUUAUGUUGGUAAUAGAUGGGUACUGGAUUGUGGAGCGAAAAGGGAGGUCUCAACCAGUAAAAUAACUACCGGUAACCCUGAGGUUGUACAGGGCAUGCUCCUAGAUUUCAUAUCAACUGUUCAGUUUAAGGGAUUACUACAUUUGUAAGGAAAA
rnacentral:lncRNA from 1 species